rnacentral:rRNA from 1 species
GUAGGUGGCAAGCGUUGUCCGGAAUUAUUGGGCGUAAAGCGCGCGCAGGCGGUUCUUUAAGUCUGAUGUGAAAGCCCACGGGCUCAACCGUGGAGGGUCAUUGGAAACUGGAGAACUUGAGUACGGAAGAGGAAAGCGGAAUUCCACGUGUAGCGGUGAAAUGCGUAGAGAUGUGGAGGAACACCAGUGGCGAAGGCGGCUUUCUGGUCUGUAACUGACGCUGAGGCGCGAAAGCGUGGGGAGCAAACAGGAUUAGAUACCCUGGUAGUCCACGCCGUAAACGAUGAGUGCUAAGUGUUAGGGGGUUUCCGCCCCUUAGUGCUGCAGCUAACGCAUUAAGCACUCCGCCUGGGGAGUACGGCCGCAAAGGCUG